UGCGGCGGCCAUGGCCCAGGUGAGACGCCCGGUCCCAUUCCGAACCCGGAAGCUAAGGCCUGGCACGGCGAUGGUACUGCACCCGAUGGGGUGUGGGAGAGUAGCACGCCGCCGCAU
rnacentral:rRNA from 1 species